UACGAAGGGGGCUAGCGUUGCUCGGAAUUACUGGGCGUAAAGCGUGCGUAGGCGGUCUUUUAAGUCUGCUGUGAAAUCCCCGGGCUCAACCUGGGAAUGGCAGUGGAUACUGGGAGGCUAGAGUGUGUCAGAGGAUGGUGGAAUUCCCGGUGUAGCGGUGAAAUGCGUAGAGAUCGGGAGGAACAUCAGUGGCGAAGGCGGCCAUCUGGGACAACACUGACGCUGAGGCACGAAAGCGUGGGGAGCAAACAGG
rnacentral:rRNA from 1 species